ensembl:rRNA 5S_rRNA 5S ribosomal RNA
GCCCCCAGGAAAAUUUAACCCUAAAUCCACUGGGUCUCAGAAGAUAAGCGGGGUCGGGUCUGCUUAGUACUUGGAUGGGAGCCCCGGCUGGAAAUACCGGGUGCUGUAGGCU